rnacentral:rRNA from 1 species
UACGAACUGUGCGAACGUUAUUCGGAAUCACUGGGCUUAAAGGGUGCGUAGGCGGUUACCAAAGUCAGGUGUGAAAUCUCUCGGCUCAACCAGGAAACUGCGCUUGAAACUAAGUGACUGGAGUGAGGUAGGGGUGUGUGGAACUUCCGGUGGAGCGGUGAAAUGUGUAGAUAUCGGAAGGAACACCAGCAGCGAAAGCGGCACACUGGACCUUUUCUGACGCUGAGGCACGAAAGCUAGGGGAGUGAACGGG